rnacentral:rRNA from 1 species
UGACGUCAAGUCCUCAUGGCCUUUAUGCUUAGGGCUACACACGUGCUACAAUGGGUGGUACAAAGAGAAGCCAACUCGCGAGAGCGCGCCAAUACUCAAAAAGCCAUCCUCAGUUCGGAUUGGAGUCUGCAACUCGACUCCAUGAAGUUGGAAUCGCUAGUAAUCGCGGAUCAGCAUGCCGCGGUGAAUACGUUCCCGGGCCUU